rnacentral:rRNA from 1 species
UUGACCUCGAAUCAGGUAGGAAUACCCGCUGAACUUAAGCAUAUCAAUAAGCGGAGGAAAAGAAACCAACCGGGAUUACCUCAGUAACGGCGAGUGAAGCGGUAACAGCUCAAAUUUGAAAUCUGGCUCCUGCGGAGUCCGAGUUGUAAUUUGUAGAAGAUGCUUUGGGUUGUGGGUUCGGCCUAAGUUCCUUGGAACAGGACGUCAUAGAGGGUGAGAAUCCCGUAUGUGGCCGAGGCCCGCGCCUAUGUAAAGCUCUUUCAACGAGUCGAGUUGUUUGGGAAUGCAGCUCAAAAUGGGUGGUAAAUUUCAUCUAAAGCUAAAUAUGGGCCAGAACCGAUAGCGCACAAGUAGAGUGAUCGAAAGAUGAAAAGCACUUUGGAAAGAGAGUUAAACAGUACGUGAAAUUGUUGAAAGGGAAGCGCUUGCAACCAGACUUGGGCGCUGCCGAUCACCCUGAGUUCUCUCAGGUGCACUCGACAGCGCACAGGCCAGCAUCGGUUCGGGUGGCUGGAUAAAGGCCGUAGGAACGUAGCUCCCUCCGGGGAGUGUUAUAGCCUACGGUGCCAUGCAGCCCAGCCGGACCGAGGACCGCGCCUUCGGGCUAGGAUGCUGGCGUAAUGGUUGUAAGCGACCCGUCUUGAAACACGGACCAAGGAGUCUAACAUCUAUGCGAGUGUUUGGGUGGCAAACCCAUACGCGGAAUGAAAGUGAACGUAGGUGAGAACCCCUUUGGGGCGCAUCAUCGACCGAUCCUGAUGUCUUCGGAUGGAUUUGAGUAAGAGCAUAGCUGUUGGGAC